ACUCUGGCCCCCACCGCAGCAGCACCUACAACCCUGGGGGUGGAUCUGGACGUCACCUGCAGAGCAGAUGGGAGCAGACUGAGGUCACACCUGGGGCCCUCCGUGAGCCUGGUCUGGUACGGAAGAAAUUCCCCCUACUCUUCUAGAACUCAUCUGGUGUCGAGUGUAUCAGGUAGUGUUGGAUGGGCAAGAGAUCUUCUGGGAGCCAGGGGAGAGAGAGACAGCUUGGUUAUGGACAGAGCUCUAGAGCGACAGCUACACCCGUCUUGAAUGGAGAGGUACCUGCCGGACACUCCAGGAAGCCUGAAAUACAGGGAUGCCUAUGACCCACAGAAAGCCACACCAACCACCGGUCCCCUUCCCAGUCUACAGAGCAAAUGUCAAGUAACUCAGAUGGAGAGGGUAGAUUUGGUGCUAUGACUGCACCGGAGGUGGCUGCUGAUGGUGACAAAGACAGCCUGGAAGCAGGAAGGCUGGGCCCUGGAAUCACAGGUGUUAGGAAAUGGUCAGCUUGGAGACCAUCUGAUCCAGCCCCUCCAUUUACAGAUGAGGAAACCAAGGCCCAGAGAGUGGAAGGCACUGUCAUACGGCCACAUAACCUUAUCUGGAGCUCUUCUCCAAAGGCUGUUUCAGGGUUGCUGCUUGUUUCCAGGAUCCAG
rnacentral:lncRNA from 1 species